rnacentral:rRNA from 1 species
UACGUAGGGUGCGAGCGUUAAUCGGAAUUACUGGGCGUAAAGCGUGCGCAGGCGGUGAUGUAAGACAGGUGUGAAAUCCCCGGGCUUAACCUGGGAACUGCAUUGGUGACUGGCGGGCUAGAGUAUGGCAGAGGGGGGUAGAAUUCCACGUGUAGCAGUGAAAUGCGUAGAGAUGUGGAGGAAUACCGAUGGCGAAGGCAGCCCCCUGGGCCAAUACUGACGCUCAUGCACGAAAGCGUGGGGAGCAAACGGG